AGGGGGGAGACAACAGGGAUUGCCCCAGUAACGGCGAGUGAAGCGGCAACAGCUCAAAUUUGAAAUCUGGCCCCCAGGGCCCGAGUUGUAAUUUGCAGAGGAUGCUUUUGGCGACGCGCCUUCCGAGUUCCCUGGAACGGGACGCCAUAGAGGGUGAGAGCCCCGUCUGGUCGGACGCCGAGCCUCUGUAAAGCUCCUUCGACGAGUCGAGUAGUUUGGGAAUGCUGCUCUAAAUGGGAGGUAUAUGUCUUCUAAAGCUAAAUACCGGCCAGAGACCGAUAGCGCACAAGUAGAGUGAUCGAAAGAUGAAAAGCACUUUGAAAAGAGGGUUAAAUAGUACGUGAAAUUGUUGAAAGGGAAGCGCUCACGACCAGACUUGAGCCCGGUGAAUCACCCAGCGUUCUCGCUGGUGCACUUCGCCGGGCCCAGGCCAGCAUCGGUUCGCCGCGGGGGAGAAAGGCGUCGGGAACGUGGCUCCCUCGGGAGUGUUAUAGCCCGUCGCACAAUACCCUGGGGCGGACCGAGGUUCGCGCAUCUGCAAGGAUGCUGGCGUAAUGGUCGUCAGCGACCCGUCUUGAAACACGGACCAAGGAGUCGUCUUCGUAUGCGAGUGUUCGGGUGUAAAACCCCUACGCGUAAUGAAAGUGAACGCAGGUGAGAGCUUCGGCGCAUCAUCGACCGAUCCUGAUGUUCUCGGAUGGAUUUGAGUAAGAGCAUACGGGGCCGGACCCGAAAGAAGGUGAACUAUGCCUGUGUAGGGUGAAGCCAGAGGAAACUCUGGUGGAGGCUCGCAGCGGUUCUGACGUGCAAAUCGAUCGUCAAACAUGGGCAUGGGGGCGAAAGACUAAUCGAACCUUCUAGUAGCUGGUUUCCGCCGAAGUUCCCCCCUCAGGGAAGGAAAC
rnacentral:rRNA from 1 species